rnacentral:lncRNA from 1 species
AUCAGUUCAUAGAUUGAGACGGAAGAAAUCGGUCUUGGAAUCAAUCGCAGUCUGGACUUAAAUAUCUACCCAAAUCAGACCAAACCGAACUGAGGAUUAAUUUCUGUCUUGGACCGAGUUUCAACACGAAUAAAUACAUAACUUUAAAAAUGAUCACGAAUUUAAUUUCUAUAGUUUUUCCUCUUCACGGGAGGCGAAGCGAUAUGGACGCAUGGAAAUGGGAUUUUUUUAAAGUGGGAGUUGGCUACAACUUUCAACUACACAUAUGUAUAUUAUAUAUACAUAUGUACAUUCCUUUAAAUAAGUUUCAACUGUGACGAAGGCAACAACCAUCGAAGGAUAAUUCAAUUAAAAUUAUUACUGUUCUUCUCAAAAAAAAAAAGCAUGAGUGUUGAUUAUUGAAGGGUCGAUAGCCUUGGAAACUCAUCAUUAGUUCUGGAUUCAAUAGACUCAGUAUUUUUGCUCCAUCUAGUGUAUGUGUUGUUUUACCAAUGAGUAGGAAGACCGAUUUUUUCUUCGUGUGGACCGAAUUAGUUUGGUUUUUAAAUCGGUCUCAGAUCGGUGUAGAAUCUCCAGAAUGAAGGACAACAUUAGUUAAUACUAAGCCUUACGUGGGUUAUGGUCUGUCGAUUUGUAAAAAUAUAAGAAAUCGUAAAUGUACGAGGUAAUCAGCUGUCAUGAAGUAACUUCUUCAAUGUCGAUCCUCAAAUUCUACAAUAUACUCAUGACUUAUACUUUUAACUUCUCAACAAACCCUCAUUGUUACUCUCGCAUCUUUUAUGAGCACGCCCACUAUUUAUUACUCUAUACAUUGUUGUUUCCUUCUCAAAAAUUAAAUUGUAAUUAUCAAAGCUUUAAAAUAUAAGGGUCCAUCUACAAAAAGUAUAAUUUAUGGAGCUUUAUGUAUGACCAGGCAAUUCUAGACACAUGGAAUAAUCACGAA